GAUGAACGCUGGCGGCGUGCCUAAUACAUGCAAGUCGAGCGAACAGACGAGGAGCUUGCUCCUCUGACGUUAGCGGCGGACGGGUGAGUAACACGUGGAUAACCUACCUAUAAGACUGGGAUAACUUCGGGAAACCGGAGCUAAUACCGGAUAAUAUAUUGAACCGCAUGGUUCAAUAGUGAAAGACGGUUUUGCUGUCACUUAUAGAUGGAUCCGCGCCGCAUUAGCUAGUUGGUAAGGUAACGGCUUACCAAGGCGACGAUGCGUAGCCGGCCUGAGAGGGUGAUCGGCCACACUGGAACUGAGACACGGUCCAGACUCCUACGGGAGGCAGCAGUAGGGAAUCUUCCGCAAUGGGCGAAAGCCUGACGGAGCAACGCCGCGUGAGUGAUGAAAGUCUUCGGAUCGUAAAACUCUGUUAUUAGGGAAGAACAAAUGUGUAAGUAACUAUGCACGUCUUGACGGUACCUAAUCAGAAAGCCACGGCUAACUACGUG
rnacentral:rRNA from 1 species